rnacentral:rRNA from 1 species
CCUACGGGAGGCUGCAGUGGGGAAUAUUGCACAAUGGGGGAAACCCUGAUGCAGCGACGCCGCGUGAGUGAAGAAGCAUUUCGGUACGUAAAGCUCUAUCAGCAGGGAAGAAACUGACGGUACCUGACUACGAAGCCCCGGCUAACUCCGUUCCAGCAGCCGCGGUCAUACGUAGGGGGCAAGCGUUAUCCGGAUUUACUGGGUGGAACGGGAGCGUAGACGGCGAGGCAAGUCUGAAGUGAAAGGCGGGGGCCCAACCCCCGGACUGCUUUGGAAACUGUAUGGCUGGAGUGCAGGAGAGGUAAGUGGAAUUCCUAGUGUAGCGGUGAAAUGCGUAGAUAUUAGGAGGAACACCAGUGGCGAAGGCGGCUUACUGGACUGUAACUGACGUUGAGGCUCGAAAGCGUGGGGAGCAAACAGGAUUAGAUACCCGGGUAGUC